rnacentral:rRNA from 1 species
AAGUAUAUACAUUUUCGUAAUGUAGAAACUGCGAACGGCUCAUUAAAACAGUUAUAAUCUACUUGACGUUAAAAUAUUAUAAGGAUACCUACGGAAAAGCUGUAGCUAAUACUUGAACGAUAUAUUAAAUAUUUCUAAUAUUUAAUAUGGUAUUUGUUAGCUUUUUCAAGAAAAAGACAAGCGGGGAGUCCUAACAAAGAAGCGACACGUAUAAGAUUUUUUAUUUGAUCUUAUGAAGUGCGUAUCAAUCGAGUUUCUGACCUAUCAGCUUUUGAUGUUAGGGUAUUGGCCUAACAUGGCUAUGACGGGUAACGGGGAAUUGGAGUUCGAUUCCGGAGAGGGAGCCUGAGAAAUAGCUACCACAUCUAAGGAAGGCAGCAGGCGCGUAAAUUACCCAAUUCUGACAAAGAGAGGUAGUGACAAGAAAUAACGAUGUAAGGUCUAUUAAUAGAUUUUACAAUUGGAAUGGUGGGAAUUUAAAUCCUUCCCAGAGAAGCAAUUGGAGGGCAAGUCUGGUGCCAGCAGCCGCGGUAAUUCCAGCUCCAAUAGCGUAUAUUAAAAUUGUUGCAGUUAAAACGCUCGUAGUUGAUCUUCAAAAGAAUUUAUUAGAGAAAAACACACCACUUAAUUGUGUUGUAUGUGUAUUUCUCCUCGAAAUUCUUUUUUUAUUCUACGUAUAUUUUCGGAUAUAGGUAGAAUAGUUACUUUGAGUAAAUUAGAGUGUUCAAAGCAAGUAAAUUGCAAAGGGGAAACCCGCUUGAAUACUACAGCAUGGAAUAACAACAUUGAAAAAGUUAAAUGGUGUUUCUUUUAUAAAGUUUCGGCUUUUUUAAAACUUUUUCUUGAUUUGGCUUAGUUACGAUUAAUAGGAGUAGUUUGGGGACCUUCGUAUUCAGAUGUUAGAGGUGAAAUUCUUAGAUUUUCUGGAGACGAACAACUGCGAAAGCAUUGGUCUAAAAUACUUCCAUUAAUCAAGAACGAAAGUUAAGGGAUUGAAGACGAUCAGAUACCGUCGUAAUCUUAAUCAUAAACUAUGCCGACUGGGUGUCGGAUAGGUAUUAAUUGUAUUAAGAUAUAUUAGAUAAGAAAGUUUCGGCUUUUUUGUUUAAUAAUAUUCUUUUUACUAUACUGACUUGUUCGGUACCCUGGGAGAAAUCAAAGUCUUUGGGUUCUGGGGCGAGUAUUCACGCAAGUGAGAAAGUUAAAAGAAUUGACGGAAGGGCACCACCAGGCGUGGAGCUUGCGGCUUAAUUUGACUCAACACGGGGAACCUCACUAGUUUAAGACAAGAGUAGGAUUGACAUAAUAUUAAUUGAUUGAAGCUCUUUCUUGAUUUCUUGGUUGGUGAUGCAUGGCCGUUUUUAGUUCGUGAAUAUGAUUUGUCUGGUUAAUUCCGAUAACGAACGAGAUCUCCACCUACUAAUUAGUUCCCAGUGCAUAUAGUGUCAAUGACUUUUGUAUUUCAUUUAUUUUAUUUAAGAUAUUUUUAUGUGUAUUUCAUAUAUAUUGAUUUCGGUCUUUAUUUAUGAAUAUAUACAUUUUAAAUGUUCUUGUAAGGUAAAGGAUACUUAGGUUGUUGAGACGCACUGUUUUUGGUUACUUCUUAGAGGGACAUGGAAUGUUUAAUUCCAGGAAGUUGGAGGCAACAACAGGUCUGUGAUGUCCUUAGAUGAACUAGGCUGCACGCGUGCUACACUGAUGCGUGUAGCGAGUAUCUUAAAGGAAUUAUAUUGGAUGUUUCGUAAGAGAUGUCUUCAAUUAAUUCCUUCCUUUUCUGAAAAGAAUGGGGAAUCUGGAAUACGCAUCGUGAUGGGGAUAGACGAUUGCAAUUAUUCGUCUUGAACGAGGAAUGCCUAGUAAGCAUGAUUCAUCAGAUUGUGCUGACUACGUCCCUGCCCUUUGUACACACCGCCCGUCGCUCCUACCGAUUGAAAGAUAUGAUGAAUUAUUCGGACGAAUUUAAUUAAGAAAUUAUUUUCUUAUAUUGAGUUUGGAAGAAUCGUAAAUCCUAUCUUUUAAAGGAAG